GGCUCAGAUUGAACGCUGGCGGCAUGCUUUACACAUGCAAGUCGAACGGCAGCGGGGGCUUCGGCCUGCCGGCGAGUGGCGAACGGGUGAGUAAUGCAUCGGAACGUGCCCAUGUCGUGGGGGAUAACGUAUCGAAAGGUACGCUAAUACCGCAUACGUCCUGAGGGAGAAAGCGGGGGAUUCUUCGGAACCUCGCGCGAUUGGAGCGGCCGAUGUCGGAUUAGCUAGUAGGUGAGGUAAAGGCUCACCUAGGCGACGAUCCGUAGCGGGUCUGAGAGGAUGAUCCGCCACACUGGGACUGAGACACGGCCCAGACUCCUACGGGAGGCAGCAGUGGGGAAUUUUGGACAAUGGGGGCAACCCUGAUCCAGCCAUGCCGCGUGAGUGAAGAAGGCCUUCGGGUUGUAAAGCUCUUUCGGCCGGGAAGAAAUCGUGGUCUCUAACAUAGGCCAUGGAUGAC
rnacentral:rRNA from 1 species